CGCUAUCAUCAUUAACUUAUUUAUUACCGUCAUUCAGUUUUGAAUGUCUGUUUAUCCCUAAUUCAGCCGAGUGCACUGCAUUCGGUUUUUUUU
rnacentral:other from 1 species